rnacentral:rRNA from 1 species
UCCGCCAGGGGACUACAAGCGCUAGCUUAAAACCCAAAGGACUUGACGGUGUCUCAGACCCACCUAGAGGAGCCUGUUCUAGAACCGAUAAUCCACGUUUAACCUCACCACCCCUUGUUUUCCCCGCCUAUAUACCGCCGUCGCAAGCUUACCCUGUGAAGGACUAACAGUAAGCAAGAUGGGUAUACCCCAGAACGUCAGGUCGAGGUGUAGCUUACGAGGUGGGAAGAAAUGGGCUACAUUUUCUGUAUCAGAAUAUACGAAUGGCAUUAUGAAACUUAGUGCCUGAAGGUGGAUUUAGUAGUAAAAA